rnacentral:rRNA from 1 species
UAGUAAAGCCUAAAUAUCCUGAAGGCACCAAAACCCAUCUGGUCUUGGAAACUAAGCCGGGCUGACACUGAUUAGUACUUGAAUAGGAGACAGCCAAUGAAUAAUCAGGUGCUCUAGACU